CGUGGCUAAGGCGUGAGCGUAUGUGCGAGAGAUGGGGCGAGGCCUAAAAAAUAUCUGCCUCCACCUCCUCUGUCUCUCUCCUCCCGUUCCUCUGCGCCGCCUCCUCCGAUUCCCCUCAUCUUCUCCAUGCGUGGCGGCCGGCGCAGCUCCUCGCACCGCCGUCCGUCCUCCCUGGCUCUCUCAGAUCAGGGCGGGGCGGAGCAGCUCUGCCUUCUUCCCGUCCUCCAUCCCCAUACGUGCAGCGACGACCUAGAGGAGCUCAAGCCACAGUGAUAGUCCACGGCACCAUCAGCAUCGUCCUCAGCAGGAGGAGCACGGACCGCAUAGAUGGCCGGCUCCGUCCUGCUCCCAUGCCGCCAUCCGUCCAUCCUUUCUCUCUCUUGUUUUCCUUCAGAUCGGGGCGACUGCUAACUCUCUCUCUCUCUUUCUCAUUCUCAUUUUCGUUGGUGGGGAGAUGGUGAUGGCCAUGACCACCUCGACGGUGAGUGAGGAAGAUGCCUUAUUGUUGCAGGGAGGGAAGCAGCCCCAGAUUGAGGAGGAUGGCACAGGUCGUGAGCAUGGUCAUGGCCUGCAGAUUGAGGAGGACGGCACAGGUCCUCUUCUUUUAUUUUUAGCACAAAGUUUUGACAAAAUUGUUCUGACUGUGCAUCUUGAGAGAGUCCAUGCCAACGCAAAUCUUAUAGUUCUCUGAACUCGAUCUGAAGUAUGCAGCAAGGUUCGCUUACAAUGUGUGUCAAAUGAGAAUUACAAUAUUGCCUUUGUAGCUACAUGGGUAUCAGUUUUUGUUUGUACCGAUCCUUCCAAACUGAAGCUUAGAGAGAUAAAAAUGUUGCACCUGAAGGGCCAGGAGUGAACUACUCAACUCAGUCUAUGACAAUCAUACUGAAAAUCUUCGUGCAUUAUGAGGUAUUAUAGAGCUUUUACAUUUGCAUCAACUAGGUAAAUUGAAUACUGGAUACGAGCAUUUUUUACCUGAGGACUAUUGGCACUGGGAUGAUGGUCUUGAAAGCAAAUGGUUUUUUUACUCAGGUUGGACAGUGACAACCCUUAUGCCGAUUAGUGUUAUAGCAGGCUUAUACUAAUUUCACAUGGUUUUAACUUUUAGAUCCCAUGAUUAUGGGAGUGAAGAAAUUAUCCCUUUGUAGAUUUCAGUGAAUUUUCUUGUUAGUUUGACAAGGAAUAUGCCUGUGGUAUCAUACAUGAUUAUGGAAAAGAAGGAAAACAAAUGGAAGUCUUCCUCCCUCAGUUUUUACUCCUCGAUUCUUCUGGUCUUGAUAGUCUUAUUUUGAUUUCUCAAUUUGUGGUUUUUCUAUACACAUGUGUGCAGAUUUGAGAAAGAAGAGAAGAGCAAUAAUGUUUAGGUUUUUCUAGAUAUGUUUGCAGAUUUGAGAAAGAAGAGAAGAGCAAUAGUCUUCGGGAAGAGUUUGGUGAAGAAUAAGGUAAUACCAGCUCCAUAUCACGUUGCAAAGGAAAAACUUCUCGCCAUGUUCAGGCAUCUGUGGGAAGGCUGAUUAUUUUUCCACUUUCCAAUCGAUGAAGUGCAUUCAAUUGAUAAAGUAGAUUUAGUUAUUGUGGCGGCACAAGCUCGGCGGCGGCUGCUACCAGCCUAAUCUUUGGAUUAUUAUAAGUAUAGGCUGAUCGUGCACAAGGAGAAAAAUUGAAAAUGGUGACCUCUAUUGACUGGAAACCAAAUCCUUCUGUCAGACCGCUGAAUGGAAAUAACUCAAAAGAAGAGAAUGGAGAUGCUGUCUCUAUGCAAUUCGAUAACUAUCAGUUCAGUUACAAAGAACGAAAGACCACAUCACAAAUAGCUUCGAGAAUUCCAUUGGCAAAGACAAAUUCAGGGAGAUGGGAACAGACAGAUUCAGUGAAGGUUGGCUGCGCUUAAACUAUUGUGAUCAAGUUGGAAACAAAUGUUUCCUCCAACUCCUCGUGUUGGAGACUGGGGUUUGCAGUGCAAGUGAUCCGUUCAAAAACAAGAACUUGGCAGAAGCUAUACAUAUGCAAAUAGAGGUUCAGACACAGCUCCAUGAACAACUAUAGGAACACGGACAUCGCUAGCAGGAGAAAGUAUGCGAGGUUGGUAGAGUCAGUCAAGAAAUAUGGCGGUAGGAGAACAAGAGUUACAAGGUGGUAGAUACAUAGCUCGUACACCGGAGGGCGAGGAUGGAUCUACAAUGAGCAGAAGAAGCCGGGGUGCUCAGCCCAAACACAAACAGGUGCAGAGGCAUACACACCUUACGCCUGUUUAAGGGGGAGCAUCCAGCUGCCGCAUCUUUCCGCCCGUGCCAGAGGAAGUCGCGGAUCACCGGGUUGGCUCUCAAGUGGUGGUGUUCAAAGCUACCGCCGAGAAGAUAUGCAUGGGCAUGGCGGAGAGGACAUGAUGGACAAGGGUAAGCCUAACAAUGGCUACAACUUGGACUCGGCAAACUACAUCAACACGCAUGUAUAGGAGUUUGGAAUAUCCAACAUUUUCUGCUUUUUAUUUACUUCGUCCAAUAUCUGGGAACUAAAUGUGCUUUUAAAUUUGAUCCCCCAUGUGACUUAAUACUUUGAAAUA